rnacentral:rRNA from 1 species
AUACCAAACUGUUGCCUCGGCGGGGUCACGCCCCGGGUGCGUCGCAGCCCCGGAACCAGGCGCCCGCCGGAGGGACCAACCAAACUCUUUCUGUAGUCCCCUCGCGGACGUUAUUUCUUACAGCUCUGAGCAAAAAUUCAAAAUGAAUCAAAACUUUCAACAACGGAUCUCUUGGUUCUGGCAUCGAUGAAGAACGCAGCGAAAUGCGAUAAGUAAUGUGAAUUGCAGAAUUCAGUGAAUCAUCGAAUCUUUGAACGCACAUUGCGCCCGCCAGUAUUCUGGCGGGCAUGCCUGUCCGAGCGUCAUUUCAACCCUCGAACCCCUCCGGGGGGUCGGCGUUGGGGAUCGGGAACCCCUAAGACGGGAUCCCGGCCCCGAAAUACAGUGGCGGUCUCGCCGCAGCCUCUCCUGCGCAGUAGUUUGCACAACUCGCACCGGGAGCGCGGCGCGUCCACGUCCGUAAAACACCCAACUUUCUGAAAUGUUGACCUCGGAUCAGGUAGGAAUACCCGCUGAACUUAAGCAUAUCAAUAAGGCGGA